rnacentral:ncRNA from 1 species
CAGUAAUAAUAACAAUCGAAAAAAAUAUAGGGAUAUAACUGGCUUGUGGCAGCAAAGUGUUCAUAUCGAUGUCGCUUUUUGAUCCUUCGAUGUCGGCUCCUCCUAUCAUUGUGAAACAGAAUUCACCAAGCGCUGGAUUGUUCACCCACUAAUAGGGAACGUGAGCUGGGUUUAUACUGCCGUGAGACAGGUUAGUUUAACCCUACUG